rnacentral:rRNA from 1 species
AUUGAACGCUGGCGGCAGGCCUAACACAUGCAAGUCGAACGAGUCGCGGACGGGUGUGUAAUGUCUGGGAAACUGCCUAAUGGAGGGGGAUAACUACUGGAAACGGUAGCUAAUACCGCAUACCAUCAGAUGUGCCCAGAUGGGAUUAGCUAGUUGGUGGGGUAACGGCUCACCAAGGCGACGAUCCCUAGCUGGUCUGAGAGGAUGACCAGCAAAACGGGAACUGGGACACGGUCCAUACUCCUACGGGAGGAAGCAGUGGGGAAUAUGGCACAAUGGGCGAAAGCCUGAUGCAGCAAGGCCGCGUGUAUGAAGAAGGCCUUCGGGUUGUAAAGUACUUUCAGCGGGGAGGCGUUACCCGCAGAAGAAGCACCGGCUAACUCCGCGCCAGCAGCCGCGGUAAUAC